rnacentral:lncRNA from 1 species
GUUACUAUUUAACUGAAAAGCAAUGGGCAAAUUCACAAGUUACAUGCUUCUACUUUGAGGCUGUACACGUCAGAUGGCAUUAGUUCCCAAGCCUGCGUGAGUGACUCCUUAAUGCUCUCACAUGAACCUGAACUUGGCCCUUCACAUUCAGCCAGGUAAACGUUACACCGGAGGAGCUCACCCGCUUCGGCCCACCCGCUCCUUCUGGAGAUCCUAGGGGACAGUCGGUUUCCCGGCCUUUUCCAGCUUCUGGAGGCCCCCUGCGUUCCUUGGCUUGUGACCCCGCUUCCUCCAUCUUCAAAACCAGCAGCAACCUGCCCAGUCUUUCUUACACGCCUGACUCUUCUGUCUCCCUCUGCUACGCCCAAGGACUCUUGUGGUCAGACUGGGCCCACCGGAUAAUCCAGGGUCAUCUUAAGGAGAGGGCUGUGUCCUGCAUGGAGUGAAGACGUGAAGUGAGUGGGAGAUCACACCACGCAGACCUGCGGAUGGCUUGAGGAGGGCCCUGGGCGUGGAAGAGGGGCCCGUGGCGCAGCCAGUGCUGUUUCAUUUACACAGGACAGCGGCCCAGCUACCAGCUCAGAGCAAAUCCCCCAGGCCCGCAGACUGCACGGACAGCGCACCUGAGCGGCGGCGCUGUGUCCCGAGAGCCGCAGAGGCAAGGUUCCGGCCCUUCUGAGGGCGCCUGGCACCCUGCCGUGCUGGCUGCCCAGCCUCCUCUGGUUAGACUCUGCUUCAGGAACAGACUUGACUGAACCUUCCCCUGGGCAAGAGGGACCCUUCGGCCAGCGUGAUACACUGAAUUCGAAAGUCCACCCUCCUACACGGACACAUUGACAUACUGAGUGGCGAGGGGGAAGCCUGACCGUCACACCCUGAGAGCUCUCUGCCCGGACAAGACUGGACAACCGAUCGCCGCUCCCCAGAAUCGCCCAGAUGACUGUGCACCAUCCCUCCCGCCAAGCCCGGCAGGCCUCCCGGCAAGAUCUGGAGUGGGAGAGCAGAGGCCUCUUCCAGUCUGUGUCUCAAGGGUGAAUCCAUGGAAGGCCAAGUUCACGUUCUGCGGGAAGAGGCCCACCUGAGUCCUGGCUACCGCAGAUUGGUAGACUCUUGAUCUGACCAAGCUGUUGGCCAAGACCCAGGCAGGCCUGCCUCCCCCUGCCCAGGGGACAGUAGUGGACCCCAUGUUCGCCUCCCCACCUCUGCCCCUCACCCACCCUUCCUGACAGCCUGAGAAGAAUCUCCCUCCACAUGC